AUCCAACUAACGAGUCCCAAAUAGGAUGAAACACGCGUCCUGGAU
rfam:Schistosoma mattheei strain Denwood, Zambia genome assembly, scaffold: SMTD_scaffold0000347